GGUAACAGGAGAAAGCUUGCUUUCUUGCUGACGAGUGGCGGACGGGUGAGUAAUGCUUGGGAAUCUGGCUUAUGGAGGGGGAUAACGACGGGAAACUGUCGCUAAUACCGCGUAGUGUCGAGAGACGAAAGUGCGGGACUGAGAGGCCGCAUGCCAUAGGAUGAGCCCAAGUGGGAUUAGGUAGUUGGUGGGGUAAAGGCCUACCAAGCCUGCGAUCUCUAGCUGGUCUGAGAGGAUGACCAGCCACACUGGAACUGAGACACGGUCCAGACUCCUACGGGAGGCAGCAGUNGGGAAUAUUGCGCAAUGGGGGGAACCCUGACGCAGCCAUGCCGCGUGAAUUAAGAAGGCCUUCGGGUUGUAAAGUUCUUUCGGUAUUGAGGAAGGUUGAUGUGUUAAUAGCACAUCAAAUUGACGUUAAAUACAGAAGAAGCACCGGCUAACUCCGUGCCAGCAGCCGCGGUAAUACGGAGGGUGCGAGCGUUAAUCGGAAUAACUGGGCGUAAAGGGCACGCAGGCGGUUAUUUAAGUGAGGUGUGAAAGCCCCGGGCUUAACCUGGGAAUUGCAUUUCAGACUGGGUAACUAGAGUACUUUAGGGAGGGGUAGAAUUCCACGUGUAGCGGUGAAAUGCGUAGAGAUGUGGAGGAAUACCGAAGGCGAAGGCAGCCCCUUGGGAAUGUACUGACGCUCAUGUGCGAAAGCGUGGGGAGCAAACAGGAUUAGAUACCCUGGUAGUCCGCACAGUAAACGAUG
rnacentral:rRNA from 1 species